GGAGGUCUGAGUUUGGUGGAGAAAAUGGGGCAUAUUUGGGAGAAACUGAGUAAUAAUAGGCAAGAGCAGAUGUUUUAUAAGAGAGAGAGAGGAGAUGCCCAUGAUGGCCAAGCUGUGCCCUGGGGACCUGGAGCAGGAGGCAGCUCACAGAGAGUGGGAGGCAGAGAGUGAAGUUGCUUGCAGGGCACCCCUUUCUGCAUGGAACGUGGUCCUGGGAUUCUGGCUGGAAGGUGCUCCCAGGCUUUCAUGUGGGUAAGGAGCUGCUUCCUCUCUCUGGACUGGCCCUGCAGGAAGCCCAGUGAAUAUAUUACUGCGAUCAUGGAGCUCAGUGCCCUUGUAGUGAAACGGAAUAACCAGUUCUUCCGGUACAACGACUUCCUGUACUUCCUCACUCCCUGUGGACGGCGCUUCCGCAGGGCCUGCCGACUGGUGCAGGACUUCACAGAUGCCGUCAUCCAGGAGCGGCGCCGCACCCUCACUAGCCAGGGCGUUGAUGACUUCCUCCAAGCCAAAACUAAGUCCAAGACUUUGGACUUCAUUGAUGUGCUCCUGCUGAGCAAGGAUAAAAAUGGGAAAGAGUUGUCAGAUGAGGACAUAAGAGCAGAAGCUGACACUUUCAUGUUUGGAGGCCAUGACACCACGGCCAGUGGCCUCUCCUGGGUCUUGUACAACCUCGCGAGGCACACAGAAUACCAAGAACGCUGCCGGCAGGAGGUGCAAGAGCUUCUGAAGGACCGUGAGCCUAAAGAGAUUGAAUGGGACGACCUGGCCCAGUUGCCCUUCCUGACCAUGUGCUUGAAGGAGAGCCUGCGGUUGCAUCCCCCAGUCCCUAUGUUCACCCGCGGCUGCACCCAGGACGUGGUGCUCCCAGACAGCCGGGUCAUCCCCAAAGGGAAUAUCUGUAGCAUCAACAUCUUCGCAAUCCAUCACAACCCCUCAGUCUGGCCAGACCCUGAGGUCUAUGACCCCUUCCGCUUCGACCCAGAAAACGCCCAGAAGAGGUCACCUAUGGCUUUUAUUCCUUUCUCGGCGGGGCCCAGGAACUGCAUCGGGCAGAAGUUCGCGAUGGCAGAAAUGAAG
rnacentral:sRNA from 1 species